CCCUUGUCUCUCCACCCUGCCACGCUGACCGACCUGGCACGCAGCAAGGACAGACUGAGAAGGAGUCACAGGGCUCCCACAGCAGCUGGGUGUGUAUGCAAAGAUCCUGUCUAUUCAGCAAAACCUCCAGGAGCAGCGCCGCCGUCAGCAGCCUCCUUCGGGAUUCCUCCAGCCCCAGCCAAGUGACAUAACUUCAUCUGUGAACGGAGAGAGUGACCUGCUCACCUGAGUGCCUGCAGAGCACAGAACUCACCACCAGGCACAGAUCACGGCUCGGAUGUAAUGGAGGCUUUGUGCAGGCUGGCCCCGAGCCCUGGCUGAUGGCAGGAGUAUGAGGGGAGCCAGCACGUACAGGGAGCCUUGUCACACCCGGAUGCACUCAAAACAGUCCCCAGAUCACAGAUGGUGGCUCCUAUGGCUCGGGGCCCUGGUUAGGAGUCGUGGGCUAGCAGCCAUGCUGGACGAUUACUAACUAGCCGCUGGGGGAGGGGAGCAGGGGCUAGGGUCAGGUUGAAGGGGCCAAAUCCACUGCUCUCUACCCAUCCCCCAGUGAUCACCACUAACUGCCCCCCCUCAAAAAAAAAAAAAAAACUCUUCAAAGAGUUCUGGAACUGGU